UACAGAGACUGCAAGCGUUAUUCGGAUUCACUGGGCGUAAAGGGCGCGUAGGCGGCACUGUUAGUCAGGCGUGAAAGUCCUGGGCUCAACCUGGGAACUGCGCUUGAUACGGCAGAGCUAGAGGAUGGAAGAGGGUCGCGGAAUUCCCAGUGUAGAGGUGAAAUUCGUAGAUAUGGGAAGAACACCGGUGGCGAAGGCGGCGACCUGGUCC
rnacentral:rRNA from 1 species